rnacentral:rRNA from 1 species
GCCUACGGGAGGCAGCAGUGAGGAAUAUUGAGCAAUGGGCGGAAGCCUGACUCAGCAACGCCGCGUGGAUGAUGAAGGCCUUCGGGUUGUAAAAUCCUUUUCUGGGGAGAAGAUAACUGACGGUACCCCCACGGAAAUAGGU